rnacentral:tRNA from 2 species
GACACUUUGGCCGAGUGGUCAAGGCGUAUCCCUGCUAUCGCUCUGUCAAAGGAUAUCCGCUUCCGCGGGCGUGAGUUCGAUCCUCACAGGUGUCG